UGAGAUCCUGAAGCGCAAGAGAUGACAGUAUGUGUAAAGACGAUCAUAAUUCGACAUGGUCAAAAUGCGUCGAUUGUCGUUUCAUUUAUCUGGUAAUGAUGUUUUCACUUCAUCAAAAUUUUAAACGUAAACAACUAGGCUGAUAACAAUAUUUUAAAUGUAAAUCAGAAUAAAAUCAAUUCAUUUGAAGUAAAAUAAAUUCCAUUAUACUUUAUUAUGACCAUAUGAUCAACAUUUGUACAUAGUGCCAUUUACUUUGUGUUCUUCACUCUCGCGCUGUGUUGUGAUCGUUCGAAACUCAUCGCCAGAACGAAUGCAAAUUUCAUAUGGGAAGGAUUGGUGCCGGAAGGUGCAGUGAAAAUUAUAAAAUGUUUAUAGAAAAGUGGUUAAGUAAAUCGUGAAAGAUGUAAACGCAGGCGUAAAUGCAGUAUGUUUUGUUACAUGAUCUACGGGUAAGUGCAUGCAUAAGAAGAAGUAUCUUCCAAAUGAUGUUUGUGUUCUAACAAUCGUACUGCUUUUAAUGUUUGUUUAUUCUUCUGUUAUUUUCCAUCACACCUAGCUAUUUCAUUGCCAAAGCUCCUGAUAACAGAUCAAAGCAGUUGGAUCGGGCUUACAGAGUCGCCAUUUAACUUAAAAUAUCUUCGUGAUCGGAAAACGCAUCAAACAACAAGUGUUUUUCUUCCAACAGCACGCGCCAUCGGUGGAGCAAGCAGCCAACGAUUUGAUCGCCAGUACGCGCCAUCAAGAAUUGAUAUUUUGCCAAACAGUACUGUGAAUAAAAAACUGCACACUUACUGUCGGAA